ensembl:snRNA U2 U2 spliceosomal RNA
ACUGCUUCUCAGCCUUUUGGCUAAGAUCAAGUGUAGUAUCUGAGGUAUUCAUAUAGUCUUCCAUAAUGGCUGUACUAGUUUACAUUCUCACCAACAGUAUAUUAGGGUACCCUUU